UCUCACUGCCAAAUGCAGAUUAAAGCUUGACGUUUUCAAUCUCAUCUACAUCAUCAAUGGGCGGCCAGGAAUGAUUUAGUUUCCUAAUAGAAAUCCCAAAAUAAUGGACAAAACAUUCUCAUGAUUGCACAUGACGAAAUUAAUUGAAGCAU